CCUACGGGUGGCAGCAGUGAGGGAUAUUGGUCAAUGGUCGGGAGACUGAACCAGCCAAGCCGCGUGAGGGAUGAAGGUACAGAGUAUUGUAAACCUCUUUUGUCAGGGAACAAAGGCGGGGACGUGUCCCUGGCUGAGUGUACCGGAAGAAAAAGCAUCGGCUAACUCCGUGCCAGCAGCCGCGGUAAUACGGAGGAUGCGAGCGUUAUCCGGAUUUAUUGGGUUUAAAGGGUGCGCAGGCGGUCUGUUAAGUCAGCGGUCAAAGUCCGGGGCUCAACCCCGGCCCGCCGUUGAAACUGGCAGUCUCGAGUUGGAGAGAAGUAUGCGGAAUGCGCGGUGUAGCGGUGAAAUGCAUAGAUAUCGCGCAGAACUCCGAUUGCGAAGGCAGCAUGCCGGCUCCACACUGACGCUGAGGCACGAAAGCGUGGGUAUCGAACAGGAUUAGAUACCCUAGUAGUC
rnacentral:rRNA from 1 species